rnacentral:ncRNA from 1 species
CUGGAGAGCAACCGGGGCCCUGCCAGGCCAGCCGGUUCACCGAAGGGGCAAGCGCGCGCAUGACGAACAUGCGCAGCGCUGAAACUCUCAGGUAAAAGGACAGCGGGAG